AUAAAAUCCAUAUUUAAUGAUAUUGAAUAACUUUUUAACUUUUAAUUUAACUUAUUUGAAUUGUUUUAUUUAAAUUUUAAUUUGAUUUUAGUACUUCAGCAUAAGCUUAUUUUGUUUCAGUUAGUUGACAAUGCAACAUUUCUAAUUUUUUCAAGUGUUUUAAGUUUAUUCUUUUCAUCUAAAGUUAAUAUGUUAUUUCAUCUUUAAAUUAGAUAUCUAAAUUUACUUAAUAAUAUCAACACUAUCAGCAUGAUUAUAUGAGUAUCAGCAUUGGCAUGCUUGGCCAACUAAAACAAGUGGUUGUAAAAUAUUUGAAAGACUAGGAGAAAUGACACUGCCGUACUUUAUAAAGCAGUAUUUUUUUAAAGCAGGAUAUUGUGCUGACUUUAUUAUUUCAACAUUCCUUAUUUUACGAAUUCUGUGGUUGCCUCCGGCUGUGUGCUUUGCUAUGUAUUAUAGCCGUCAGACUAACUUGAGUUUGUUUCAGGAGCGUGUACGUCUCCAAAGGGACCUGCUGACUGUGGAAAAAGCUGCUCAAGAAACCCAUAAACAAGCCAGAACGCUGCAGGAACAGCUCAGAACCAUUUCCCAAGAGCUGCUCUGCCUCAAAGACAAGGUACAAACAGGAAAUAGCACUGUAACACACCACAUCUGUUUGCUGUUAUAGAUCUGUUGCAGAUAAACAUGUUUGUUCUACUUGUUUGGGCUCAUUUCUGAAGCGCAUAUGCUAAUCAGUAAAUAUGAGGAAGAUGAAUGGCUGUCAUGUGCCUCUCUCAGCUCCAGAGCCAAGAGGAGGGCAACACUCGGCUGUGUGAGAUCAAGGACAGUGUGCGCUCUGUGAGGUCACAGGUCAAAGUGGAGCGUGACAGUGGGCUGAAGGAGCUAGAGUCGCCCUCUAGUGCCUCCUCAGACACAGACAGCAUGAAAGAGAACCAUUCCAGUGUUACAUUAUCCGUGGGGAACCCAGCAUACAACACUAAGGAUGAACAGUGGCGAGGCGAAGCACUGAGGGAGAGACUGAGGCAGCAGGAGGACCACUUGAAGGUUCAACUGCGCAGACGCAUGUUCUCCCAGCAGGAAGCUCUGAGUCAGCGCAGACUGCAGACUGAAGGCAGCAUUCAGGGUCUGCGCAGACACGUUGACAAACUGGACCAGCUCCUCAGCAACUCUUCCAAAGACUCAUAUUAUUUGAGUGACUAUGAAGCUCUGCCAAAACAUCAGAAACAAUACUCCACUGAGCCUCAUUGA
ensembl:lncRNA